rnacentral:lncRNA from 1 species
GAAAAAUGCACUUCGCACGUUGACUAUUUGUUCUGAGAUGGUUCUUUGAGUAGCAACUUGUUUACCGGUAAUGCUUUUGGGAACAUGAUGACAAAGUUGUCAGAAGGAGGUGAUGCACCUAUGUUAGCCUCAGCUUGACUGGAAUCCAAAUCAUACCCGCUUAAGCCCCGGUCCCUGCGGCUGGCAAGCUCGUGGUUUCUGCUGUAGUGUAGUUGGGACGAGCUGCCAGAUCUGGGGGAGGGAACAGGCUUCACCUUCCUAAGCAGCGUAUUGAGGGAGUACAGCAUUUACUUUAAUGAUCGCUUGCUUUAUGAUUUUUUUUUUUUCCAGACCGGAACAACACCCAGAUCGCUGAACUCCGGCUCUCCCGUUAGCUCCCUAAUCGCUAUAUCAUCGCCAAGACUAUAUCGCUCCUUAAUUCCCGCUUUCCUCUCCUGCCCCGCGGUCUCACCCGGCGGAGGGCACAGCGGGACGGCGCAGUCCCGGCGGUACCGUUGCUAUAGCAGCGGCGCAGCGCAGCCUCGGCCGCAACUUUGGCCGCGGUGCGGGAGCGGCUCGGGUGGGGAGCGGAGCGGCGUCGCCCCUUUCGCAGCUCCGGGCUGGGCGGCGCGGAACCAUCUUGCAGAGCGGGCGGAGGGUCCCGCUCCGGUGCCUCCGCUCCUCCCUCUGCUCUCGGCGGCCGCCGCUUUCUGAGUUGUAUUUCGUUUCUCCUCUCUCCCUGCGAAGCAUCUCCCGGCGGCAUGCCGAUCGCCCACCUGCUGGAGCUAUGGAAAGGGAUCGAAGUGGAGCCCAUGGAGACGGAGCCUGUGGUGGAAGAAGCUACCCUGGAUGAAGAAACUGUGAAAGAGGCAAGUCUGUGUAUCUGUGUUUCACGCAUAGUGAAUGAUUAUAUUAUCACCUUUUGCCUUUAUAGAAAUAGAAUGUCUGAGGAGCUUUCUUUCCAUAUGCUUCUAGCCUUGAAGAAGCAAGUACUAUGUGGUGGUUUUUCUUUUUUUGCCUUUAAAGAAAAAAAAAUAGAAUUGGCCAACUGGAAGCUAGGGAAGAUUGUUUUAGAUGUUGUUCUUCUGCCACCUUUCCCAGGAAGAACACAACUUUUCCAGGCCAGUGCCUUUCCUAAGGGGGAGAUUUUGUAAUGGCCUCAGGAAGAGUAACCACCAUCAUAACACUGUUUCUGUGUAAUGAAUUGUGCCUGACUGAUUAGCUUUACAUGUUAUUAAACUUUGAUUCCUGUAUGUCCACUGGAUUGCUCUUCAUCAACAGCAUGGCUAAUCUAAUCAUUUCAUGCAAGUUUCACUAUUUGCGUUAGUGUGGCACUGUACUAUUUUUCUAAGAACAACUGUAGAAAAAUAUUGUCCUUGCCUCAGGGCUCAAAUGCUAAAUAGAAGCAAUGGAAGGUGAUAGGGAGCUACAAAGCAGUUGAGAAGAAAAUAAGCUUUGACUCUUCU